rnacentral:rRNA from 1 species
CCCUUAGAUGUUCUGGGCAGCACGCGCGCUGCAAUGGUCUUCGCAAACGGAUGCAUUCUCGAAGGAGAAUGCCAAUCUUGGAAUCUAUGCCUUGGUCGGGACAGUUGCUUGCAAUUUUUCGACUCGAACCAGGAAUUCCUUGUAAUCGUGAUUCAUCACAUCACGAUGAAUACGUCCCUGCCCUUUGUACACACCGCCCGUCGCUCCUACCGAUCGAAGAGUUAGGUGAAUUGUUUUGAUCGAUAAGAUUUGACUAUGGUCAACUCUCGUUGUGAAAUUCUGUGAAUCUGACUGUUUAGAGGGAGGAAAAGUCGUAACA